GACUUCCUGUUACCCAGAAGGCUGCAGACCGGGUACGGAGCUCGGCAGAUGGUUCCUGCUCAGACGACCCUGGAUUACGGCGCACGGUUCUUCCCCCCCCCUCAGACACCUCUCCCUCCCCGGCCCAGAGGGCAGGCCUGCAAGCUUGUUCCUGUGGCCCGGCUCCGUGGACAGACCCGCCGUACGCAUGCCUGCCCUGAGCUCGGCUCACAGCAAGAUGGAACCCCUCAAAUCCUGUAUGCAAAGCAGCAAUGGCUAUUUGAAGGGAACCCAGUGUUUCCACAGCGACGUCCAGCCCCGCGUCAGUCAAACAGACAGGGGAAUCUCGGGCUGCGAGGUUCUGAAGGCAAGCACGCGGCCGGAUAACCCUACCCUCGCCAGGUACCCUAAGCCUCAGAUGUAUUUCAAGAAAUCCCACUCCACCCUAGACCCGAGUUCCGUCUACAGCUGUUUCCAAGUGGUCAAGCCAUACAAGGCCGGAUAUUACAUCAUUCACCCCGAAUUUAUCUCAGAAAGCCUCAAAUGAACUCAUGCAUUAAUAUUCAAUACACUUGCCUUAAUAUUCAUCCUAUGACUACGCAGGCGAUUCAUUUUUGUCCUCUGGCGGGGUCCACGAGUCUCUGGUCUUAAUCUCAAGAACCACAUAGUCGACUGUGCUGAACCCGACACCGCAAGGGACAUUCAGUAAAAGCAAAAUAAAUAAUAUUUUUGAAAAUACUUUCUCAACGCAACAUGUUUUUUUUUCUCUCUUCCAAAACACUUGUAUUAUGUCAAUUAAAUUUAAAUACGGGUCUUAUGAGGAUAUUUGAAUGUCUUAAUUAGCCUACGGCUCCAGGAAGCAUUUUAGGUAUUUAUUUAUCUAUGCUAUUUGUCCAGAUUUAUAAGGUUUUUCUUUGCUUUGUGUCUUGCUAUAGAUUAAAACGACUUCAACUUUCUUCAGACGAUGUUUAAUGAUAUGAGCCGUUGGUCUUCGGACAGCGUGUUUGUUUUUGGUGUAUUACAGUGUGGAGCAUGACGUUUUAGGUAGCCUACGUUUAAAGUUGUAGUUGGAACAAAAAUUAAACUGAAAUUCAGGUCUUACAAGCAAGCACAACAAAGAAAGAUCAUUGUGGGGAAUUAAGGGAAAUGAUUUAACUUCUUGAGAAUUAAACAAACACGAUGAAGACUGUUGGCAAUAUGUUUUGUAUUUUGAAAUGAGAUUGUUUUUGUAUAUUGUGAAUAUAUUGUCUUUCUGAAAAAGAGAAUCCCUCCAUUGCUUAGUCGGGCAGUCUGUCUGACCUACCUCUAUGUAUUGAUUUUGAACAAUCUGAAUUCACUACUUGUGUAUUAGACAUUUUGAAUUUGCAAUGAAAAGAUAUUUGUUUUCUUCUUCGGUAAAUAGCGCAUGAAACCUGGCUAUGUCUUAAAGCGCCCAGAGUGAGUUUUAUGUUAACUAUUGGAAGAUGUAUUAAGUUAAACCCCGUUAAUAUGUAAGCAUCAUUUAAAUAAACUUGAAAACAA